rnacentral:rRNA from 1 species
GACGAACGCUGGCGGCGUGCCUAAUACAUGCAAGUAGAACGCUGAAGGAGGAGCUUGCUUCUCUGGAUGAGUUGCGAACGGGUGAGUAACGCGUAGGUAACCUGCCUGGUAGCGGGGGAUAACUAUUGGAAACGAUAGCUAAUACCGCAUAAUAGCAGUUGUUGCAUGACAACUGUUUGAAAGGUGCAAUUGCACCACUACCAGAUGGACCUGCGUUGUAUUAGCUAGUUGGUGGGGUAACGGCUCACCAAGGCGACGAUACAUAGCCGACCUGAGAGGGUGAUCGGCCCCACUGGGACUGAGACACGGCCCAGACUCCUACGGGAGGCAGCAGUAGGGAAUCUUCGGCAAUGGACGGAAGUCUGACCGAGCAACGCCGCGUGAGUGAAGAAGGUUUUCGGAUCGUAAAGCUCUGUUGUAAGAGAAGAACGAGUGUGAGAGUGGAAAGUUCACACUGUGACGGUAUCUUACCAGAAAGGGACGGCUAACUACGUG